UACGACGGGGGCUAGCGUUGCUCGGAAUCACUGGGCGUAAAGCGCACGUAGGCGGAUUGUUAAGUCGGGGGUGAAAUCCUGGAGCUCAACUCCAGAACUGCCUUCGAUACUGGCGAUCUUGAGUCCGGGAGAGGUGAGUGGAACUCCGAGUGUAGAGGUGAAAUUCGUAGAUAUUCGGAAGAACACCAGUGGCGAAGGCGGCUCACUGGCCCGGUACUGACGCUGAGGUGCGAAAGCGUGGGGAGCAAACAGG
rnacentral:rRNA from 1 species